rnacentral:rRNA from 1 species
GACUCUUAGCGGUGGAUCACUCGGCUCGUGCGUCGAUGAAGAACGCAGCUAACUGCGAGAGUGUGAAUUGCAGGACACAUUGAUCAUCGACACUUCGAACGCACUUGCGGCCCGGGUUCCUCCAGGGCUACGCCUAUCUGAGCGUCG